AUUGAACGCUGGCGGAAUGCUUUACACAUGCAAGUCGAACGGUAGAGGGGGCAACCCCUUGAGAGUGGCGAACGGGUGAGUAAUAUAUCGGAACGUGCCCAGUCGUGGGGGAUAACGUAGCGAAAGUUACGCUAAUACCGCAUACGAUCUACGGAUGAAAGCGGGGGAUCGCAAGACCUCGCGCGAUUGGAGCGGCCGAUAUCAGAUUAGGUAGUUGGUGGGGUAAAGGCUCACCAAGCCAACGAUCUGUAGCUGGUCUGAGAGGACGACCAGCCACACUGGAACUGAGACACGGUCCAGACUCCUACGGGAGGCAGCAGUGGGGAAUUUUGGACAAUGGGCGCAAGCCUGAUCCAGCCAUGCCGCGUGCGGGAAGAAGGCCUUCGGGUUGUAACCGCUUUGUCAGGGAAGAAAUCUUCUGGGCUAAUACCUUGGGAGGAUGACGGUACCUGAAGAAUAAGCACCGGCUAACUACGUG
rnacentral:rRNA from 1 species